GCAUCCGUGGUGUAAUUGGAAGCAUACUCGACUCGCAUUCGAGAUUUACAGGGUUCAUGUCCCGGCGAGGGCU
rnacentral:tRNA from 1 species